rnacentral:rRNA from 1 species
GUAGUUUGACUCCGUGGCUACAGAACGACGCUGGCGGCAUGCCUAACACAUGCAAGUCGAACGAUCCCUUCGGGGAUAGUGGCGCACGGGUGCGUAACGCGUGGGAAUCUGCCCUUGGGUUCGGAAUAACAGUGAGAAAUUACUGCUAAUACCGGAUGAUGUCUUCGGACCAAAGAUUUAUCGCCCAAGGAUGAGCCCGCGUAGGAUUAGCUAGUUGGUGGGGUAAUGGCCUACCAAGGCGACGAUCCUUAGCUGGUCUGAGAGGAUGAUCAGCCACACUGGGACUGAGACACGGCCCAGACUCCUACGGGAGGCAGCAGUGGGGAAUAUUGGACAAUGGGCGAAAGCCUUAUCCAGCAAUGCCGCGUGAGUGAUGAAGGCCUUAGGGUUGUAAAGCUCUUUUACCCGGGAUGAUAAUGACAGUACCGGGAGAAUAAGCUCCGGCUAACUCCGUG